rnacentral:rRNA from 1 species
ACGCUCGACACCUACGAGAGGCAGCAGUGGGGAAUAUUGCACAAUGGGGGAAACCCUGAUGCAGCGACGCCGCGUGAGCGAAGAAGUAUUUCGGUAUGUAAAGCUCUAUCAGCAGGGAAGAAACUGACGGUACCUGACUAAGAAGCACCGGCUAAAUACGUGCCUGCAGCCGCGGUAAUCUGAGGCGGGCUGGCAAGGC